rnacentral:rRNA from 1 species
UAGGGAAUAUUGGACAAUGGGUGAGAGCCUGAUCCAGCCAUGCCGCGUGCAGGAAGAAGGCGUUAUGCGUUGUAAACUGCUUUUGCCAGGGGAUAAAAAGACCGUGCGCGGUUAAUUGAAGGUACCUGGUGAAUAAGCCACGGCUAACUACGUGCCAGCAGCCGCGGUAAUACGUAGGUGGCAAGCGUUGUCCGGAUUUAUUGGGUUUAAAGGGUGCGUAGGUGGCCCUGUAAGUCAGUGGUGAAAUAUCUCAGCUUAACUGAGAGGGUGCCAUUGAUACUGCAGGGCUUGAGUACAGAUGAGGUAGGCGGAAUUGACGGUGUAGCGGUGAAAUGCAUAGAUAUCGUCAAGAACACCGAUAGCGAAGGCAGCUUACCAAGCUGUAAACUGACACUGAGGCACGAAAGUGUGGGGAUCAAACAGGAUUAGAUACCCUUGUAGUCCCUGAGCGGGCUGGCAAGGCGCAU